GCCGACGUCGCCGGUUUUCCCACUAGGUCUAAGCUGGCACAGAUAGAGAGAUAGAUAGAUAUAUAGAAAUGAACUGCAACUACUCUAUCAUGCCAUCAAUGAUAAUAAUGCAUGCAACAACUACUAUCAUGCUAGUAUUAUGUCAUGAGCAUAUAAAAGUGCAUAGUAAUGUAAACUACAACAUACACUAUGUCUACUCAAGGUAAUAAUGCAAAUCUACUAUGCAUUCCAUGUUUAUUACCCAAUCUACUUGGUUAACCCGUAGGUUAAACCCUCGACUCACUCUCAAUCUCAUAGGUGAGAAGAAGCUGCACUCGCACACCGAGACCGUCUGCGGGACAACUACGUCUGCCCCUAGUGAAGUACUCUGGAGACUCGUGCUUCGGUGGAGCGACCACCGACAAGCAAAACAGACUAGUGAGUAUGAUCCAAUCCUCACAAGAGGAUACCCUAUCUACAAGGGUCAAUGUGCCUUUGCUGCACAAUAUACAAUGCAUCCUAGAUGCCGGGACCUCUACUAUCCCAAGAACCAUGUCAUGUUU
rnacentral:lncRNA from 1 species